rnacentral:lncRNA from 1 species
AUGGAUGUGUUGCCUCCUCCUCCAAGCUCAAGGUGUGACCAGAGCCACUCUUGGAGUUCUCUACAGCCAGAAACUUUCCUUCUGGUGCUGGUUCUGGGGAGGGAUUUAACUCCUCCUGUCCAUCCAACCCCUUCCCCACCUUGUCCUAAGCCACCACAGCCCCCCCAGGGCCACACCACGUGUCCCGAGCAGCUCACCCGUGCAGCUCCCGUGGUGAACGAUGACCCUCUGGAUCUCGUUGUAGUCGGCUCCGUACUCGGAGGAGUCACCCAGGCUGGUCCCCGGGAGGUCCCUCGGUGGGGACACGGAGCCGUAGGGGCUCUCGCAGGCCGCCUCCUCAUCCGGGCUCUGGAAGCUGCCCUCGGACUGCCCCGACAUCCCGUGCAGCUCGGGGUUCUCGGGGCUGUCUUCAGGAAGGAGCUCCUCCGUUUUGAUCACAACCCUUAUUCCAGCUGCAGCAAUGAGAGAUUCCCACCAGCCGUCACUCCCAGGAGUCAGGACAAAGGACCUGCUCCCAGCAAUCCCUGCCAACUCCAGCUGCUGGUCCCACUGAGGGUUUCAUCUGCUCGGCCUCUUCUGCUCUCCCUUCAGCCUCUGCCCUCCACCCAUCCCUGCCACGCUCCCAGCUCCAGCCCAGGACCCUUCACAGGCACAGGGAACUCACUCUACUCAGCCCAGGACCCUUCACAGGCACAGGGAACUCACUCUACCCAGCCCAGGACCCUUCACAGGCACAGGGAACUCACUCUACCCAGCCCAGGACCCUUCACAGGCACAGGGAACUCACUCUACUCAGCCCAGGACUCUUCACAGGCACAGGGAACUCACUCUACCCAGCCCAGGACUCUUCACAGGCACAGGGAACUCACUCUACCCAGCCCAGGACCCUUCACAGGCACAGGGAACUCACUCUACCCAGCCCAGGACCCUUCACAGGCACAGGGAACUCACUCUACCCAGCCCAGGACCCUUCACAGGCACAAGGAACUCACUCUACCCAGCCCAGGACCCUUCACAGGCACAGGGAACUCACUCUACCCAGCCCAGGACCCUUCACAGGCACAAGGAACUCACUCUACCCAGCCCAGGGCCGUGGUGCCACAGCUCAGCACCCCUUGGCCACCCCACAUCCCCCAGCUGCAGUUCCCCGUGGGCCCGUGA